AGUGAACGCUGGCGGUAGGCCUAACACAUGCAAGUCGAACGGCAGCACAGUAAGAGCUUGCUCUUACGGGUGGCGAGUGGCGGACGGGUGAGGAAUACAUCGGCAUCUACUUUUUCUUGGGGGAUAACGUAGGGAAUCUUACGCUAAUACCGCAUACGACCUACGGGUGAAAGCAUGGGAUCUUCCGACCUUGCGCGUUUGAAUGAGCCGAUGUCGGAUUAGCUAGUUGGCGGGGUAAAGGCCCACCAAGGCGACGAUCCGUAGCUGGUCUGAGAGGAUGAUCAGCCACACUGGAACUGAGACACGGUCCAGACUCCUACGGGAGGCAGCAGUGGGGAAUAUUGGACAAUGGGCGCAAGCCUGAUCCAGCCAUACCGCGUGGGUGAAGAAGGCCUUCGGGUUGUAAAGCCCUUUUGUUGGGAAAGAAAAGGAGCAGGUUAAUACCCCGCUGUUAUGACGGUACCCAAAGAAUAAGCACCGGCUAACUUCGUG
rnacentral:rRNA from 1 species